rnacentral:rRNA from 1 species
UACGUGGGGUGCAAGCGUUGUCCGGAAUUAUUGGGCGUAAAGAGCUCGUAGGCGGUUUGUCGCGUCUGCUGUGAAAACUCAGGGCUUAACCCUGAGCCUGCAGUGGGUACGGGCAGACUAGAGUGUGGUAGGGGAGAUCGGAAUUCCUGGUGUAGCGGUGGAAUGCGCAGAUAUCAGGAGGAACACCGGUGGCGAAGGCGGAUCUCUGGGCCAUAACUGACGCUGAGGAGCGAAAGCAUGGGGAGCGAACAGG